rnacentral:snRNA from 1 species
AGCUUUGCGCAGUGGCAGUAUCGUAGCCAAUGAGGUUUAUCGGAGGCGCGAUUAUUGCUAAUUGAAAAGAAAAAAAAAAAUGUAACCUGCUUGAGGACAUGUUUCUCCUUCUUGAGAACCUUCUGACUAAUCCUGUUAUCUUAAAAUGUAUAUUGUGGGAAUGGGUCUGGUAAGACCU